UCAAAAUGAUUGUCUACACCUGCAGGCAUGAAUGCAGCAUCCCCAACAAAAGUACAUCAGUACGAAUAAUGUACCGAGUAUGUAAGGUACAUAAAUAAGUAUAUAAAAGACAUGGAAGAAACAUGGAGUAAAUGACUUAACCUGUAAGUUUGGAUAACUCUGUAAAUCAUGAAAUACUUAGUGUCAUGCAUAUGCGUAUGAAUGUCAUGUCGUGCAUAGGUACAUGUAUUCAUAACAUUAUCAAGCCUCUGAGGGCAUCCCAUCAUAUCAUCUCGACCACUAUGGGCAAAAUCAUCAAUGUAUACUAGUUUAUCAGGUGGUGGUGUAUAUAUAAUGCCUUAACCUUUUCCCAUAUCCUAUAUAUAUAUAUGCGUAUAUAAUGCCAUCUGUUCAUGGGUCAGUGUAAAUGAAUGCAAUGCAUGAGGAAUACGUCAAAAUCUUUCGGAGUGUCAUAAGACCAUUUUUCCUGUGGUUAAUAUCAUGAAAUAAACUUUAUCAACUUACGUAUUUUCUAAGACCCAUGAACAAAUGAUAGAAUAAUAUGACACAUGGAGAAUUAAGAACAUAAGCAUCUCUAGUAUUUCUAUGAAUAGAGUCAUUUAUGGAAAUUGUGCAUUUGCUCGUUUUAUUUGUGUCGUAUAGAUCAUGAUAAAAGAAAGAAGGGAUAGCCUUAACAGACCUGAACUGAUUCUCUUGACAAUCCCUCUAACAUACGACAAUCGCGACCAACACGUGACAACAAGAUCGGAGUAGGAAAAAACCCACAUGAUAUUCUUGGGAAAGAUUGCACCGUACUCCCUUAAAAUGGUAACAUCUCACGUUGAGAUGCUAAGAGAUCUUGUUUGAAUUUUUGUUUAAAAAAAGUCAUGUUAUAAGGAUGCUAAUAUGCAAACUUUUGUCUUGAAUUUUCUUAAGUGAAUUAGAGAUGUUAAUGAGAUAUCCACAUCUCUUUAAGUGAAUUAGAGAAGGGGUUUUAAGGUCUUGGUGGUUGUGACGACCCGACCGGUCAUCUUAAGAAUUAACGCCUCAAUCCCCUAUUAACUACUUUCCCCAAGUUUAUUUUGCUAUUUUGAUUUGCCGGGAUGUUCGGUUUUGAGUUUCGGAGAGUUUUGGGACACUUAGUCCCUAAAUGAGAGCUUAAGUGUUGGAAAAGUGACCAUAUUCUGAACAGUGUGGAGACGUCCUUGGAACGGAAAUCCGAUGAUUCCGUUAGCUCUGUUGGGUGAUUUCGGGGUUAGGAGCGUGUUCGGAUUGUGUUUUGGAGGUCCGUAGCUAAUUUAGGCUUGAAAUGCCGAAAGUAGAAUAUUAGAAGUUUCCGGUUCGAUAGUGAGAUUUUGAUCCGAGGGUCGGAAUGGAAUUCCGAGAGUUGCAAUAGUUCCGUUGUAUCAUUUGGGAUGUGUGUGCAAAAUUUCAGGUCAUUCGGACGUGUUUAGGUUGGGUUUUUGAUCAUAAGUGGAAUUUGGAAGAUUUUACAAACUUAUGCUUGAAUCUGAUGUGUUUUGGUUGUUUUGAUGUUGUUUGAGGUGUUUUGAAGAUUGGUACAAGUUUGAUUAAGGUUUUAGGAUAUGUUGAUGCCUUUGGUUGAGGUCCCGGGGGCCUCGGGGUGAUUUCGGAUGGUUAACGAGAAAAUUUAGAAAAUGUUUUAGCUGCUGUAUUUUCGCUGCUUCUGGUAUUUUUGCAUAUGCAGUUUGGGGACCGCAGAAGCGGCUAAGGGACCGCAAAAGUAGAUUUUGGCCUUUCCUUCAGGUUCCGCAGAUGCGGAAGGGACACCGUAAAAGCGGUGUCGCAUCUGCAAAAAUGUAAUCACAGAUGCAGUUUCUGGUAUUUAAGUGAAAGUCGUAGAUGCGACACUUAUUCCGCAGAAGCAGGACUGCAAAUGCGGUCCCAGGGCUGCAAAUGCGGAAAUCGCUGGGCAGAACAUAUAUAAUUUCCUUCACAAAUUUGAGGGAUCCUUUCACCAUUUUCAUCCGGGUUUGAAGCUUUUACGAGAGAUUUUUGAGGAAAACAAACGGGAAUCACUUGGAGGUAACAUCCUUGACUUCAUAACUCGUUUUUAUGUGAUUAAAUACCUAAUUAGUGGUGAGAAAUUUGAGAAAAAUGGGUAAUUAGGGCUUGAGUUUAAGAGGUCUUUAAAUGAAGAUUUGAGGGGUCAUUUGGACUCCGAUUUGUUGUUGUUAUGUAUAGACUCGUGAGAGUACGAGGUUUCUGAAAAUGUAAAUUUCACCCGAUUCCAAGACGUGGGCCCGAGAUGCAUUUUGGUCAUUUUACAUAAUUUCGCAUAUUAGCUUAGAAUUUAAUUGUAGAAUCAGUUACUUGAAGUGUUAUUUACAUUAUACAAUUGAAUUGAAUAGAUUUAGGCCAUUUGGAGUCGAGUACUCGUGGCAAAGACGUGGUGUUGGGUUGAUUUUGAGCAGGUUCGAGGUAAGUGGCCUGUCUAACCUUGUGUGGGGGACCUUCCCCUUGGAUAUGAUAUAUUUGAUAAUUGAAAUGCCUUGUACGUGAGGUGACGAGUGCGUACUUGAGCUAAUUGUUGAAAACCGGUUUUACUUAAAGUAGUUAAAUUGAGUUCCUAUCUUUCCUGUUUUAUUCUACUUGCAAACUUAGCCUGUUGUUAGUUUUGAAAAGCAUGCUUAGUUGACUUAAUUGCAUAUUUGCUUAAACUGCCUUAAUUGCAUUACGUGAAGCAUGUUAGGCUAGAAUUAACUGUUUACUUAGUACCAAAUUAGCAUUUAAUUUAAUAUUCUUGUGUUGCUGCUGUGUGUUUUAAAUUGGGACUACGGGACGGUAUCCCGGGAGAUCCCCUGUACGUAUUGAUGACCUAAACUGAGGUGCUGGAUACCAAGAGAUCCCUAGCACGUAGAUUGAGGUUACCAAGAGAUCCUUGGGAUACCAAGAGAUCCCUGACAUAUAUUGAGGAUACCAAGAGAUCCUCGGGAUACCAAGAGAUCCCUGGCAUAUAUUGAAGAUACCCAGAGAUUCUCGGGAUACCAAGAGAUCCCCGGCAUAUAUUGAGGAUACCAAGAGAUCAUCGGGAUACCAAGAGAUUCCUAGUACAUGUUGAGGAUACUAAGAGAUCCUCGGGAUAUUGAGAGAUCCCCGGUUACUUUCCUUAUGGUUUUCCUUCAUCUCUGUUUCCGUUAUUAUACUCUUAUUAUCUCGUGUAGGUUCUUACUGUAGAUUCUCAAUUGUACUGCUUAUCUUAUCCUAUCAUCUUUAUAUUUAUUUAAUCUCAGUAGGGCCCUGCCCUUCCUCGUCACUACCCAACCGAGGUUAGCCUUGGCACUUACUGAGUACUGCUGUGGUGUACUCAUGCCCCUUCUGCGCAUGUUUUUCAUGUGCAGAUCCAGGUACCUCUACUCAGGCUUACCAUUCUUGAGGUGAGGCGAUUCUACGGGAUUUCAAGGUAUAUCUGCCGCGUCCGCAGACCGAGGAGUCUCUUUCUAUUCCUGCAUUUUAGUAUUUAGCCUUCUGUACUUCUGUUCUUAUUAGACAAAAUUUCGAAGUUAGAGCUAUGUCAUAUUUCUUUUUCUUAGCUUGUGAUUCGUGGGUUUUCGGGUCUUGGAUUUAGAUAUUGGUUUUGAGAUCUAUACAAAUAUGGUACAUGCCGAGCGGCACAUUUAACACUGUUAUUGCCUUAUUUCUGUUUUUAAAUUAUUUUAUUUUCGCAAGUUUUGGUUAUCUCCCGCAAGUUUAGGCUUACCUAGUCAUAGAGACUAGGUGCCAUCACGAUGGUUCACGGAGGUGGAACCGGGGUCGUGACAGUGGUGUGGGCCCCACUUUGAAGAUUUGGCCUCCAAAAUUAAUCUAAUUUUAUUGUCACGACCCAAAACGAUGGGCCGCGAUGGGCACCCGAUACCUUACCCAACUGAGUACCCACAUAACAUAUCUUUUCAUGUCUUACUAUCAUAGAUAACUGAGCUGGAAGGCUGUCAUGAGUUAAGUAGAAUACAACAUGUGAUACCAAUUUAUACAUAAGACAUACGGGCCUAUAAGGCCAAAAUAACCACUCGUAUACUGAACAUAGGCCGACAAGGCCAUACAAUCUUUUACGUACAUGACAUCUGUCUACAAGCCUUUAAGAAUACAUAGUUUUAAUAAAGGUCAGGAUAGAGUCCCGCCAUACCAAAAAAUACACAUCCAAAUCAUACUAACCAAACAAGCAACUCCGAAGCAAAUGGAGCGUACCAACAUCUUCCGCUGAGCUGAUAGCCUACUUGGAGGGAUCUUGACCUGUCUAUCGGGACCUGCAGGCAUGAAAUGCAGCGUCCCCAGGCAAAAUGGACGUCAGUACAAAUAAUGUACCGAGUAUGUAAUGCACAUAAAUAAGUACAUAACAGACAUGGAAGAAAUAUAGAGUAAAUAACUCAACCUGUAAGUCUGGAAAACUUUGUAAAUUAUGAAAUACUUAUAGUUUCAUACAUAUGCAUAUGAAUGUCAUGUCAUGCAUAAGUACAUGUUUCAUAACAUCACCAGCCUCUGAGGGCAUCCCAUCAUAUCAUCUCGACCACUGUGGGCAAAAUCAUCAACGUAUACCAGCUGAUCAGGUGGUGGUACGUAUAUAACGCCAUAACCUUUCCCAUAUCCCAUACACAUACACACACGCACGCACACACACACACAUAGANNNNNNNNNNNNNNNNNNNNNNNNNAAAUAAUAGGACACAUGUGAAUUCAAGAAUAUAGGCACCUCUAAUACUUCUAUGAAUAGAGUCAUUCAUGGAAGUUGUGAAUUUUCUCAUUUUGUUUGUAUCGUACGGAUCAUGCCAAAAAUAAAGAAGGAAUAGCCUUAACAUACUUGGAGUGGGGAAAAAUUCGUAUGAUAUUCUUGGAAAAAGUUACACUAUACUCCUUUAGAAUCGCAAAACUUUACGUUACUACAACUCCAAAAAUUUUUGUUGGAGUUGCUACAGCCCUAACCCAUGUUACUUAAUAUAUAAAAUCUGAUUUGGAUUGUCUUUUGAGGAGGGAAAGUUGAAGAGUUAUCAAAAUGCUCACAUUCUUCAACCUUGAGUAAAGUCUUGUUUUGGAAAUUCUUGGAAUGGAAUUGAAUGCAAGAAAUUGCUCACGUUCUUCAAUCCUUCAUUAAGGUCUUGUUUUGGAAAUUCUUGGAAUGGAAUUGAAUGCAAGAAAAUGCUCACGUUCUCUUCUGAUUGUGAGGUCUUUGGUAUAGUAGGAAUGAGGUUUUGGAAUGAUUGUAGUAUUAUUUUGGUUUUUGAAAGAUUUUUGAAAAUUGAAGUGAUUUGGGUAACAUAUCCUUUUGCCACCUAUCAAGAGUGACUAAGAGUCAUCUCUUUAUGAAGUGGCAUGCUGCCACUUGGGGAUGGGGUGAAAAAUUUAAUCUUUAUCCACUUAUUAGUUAAUUAGGUAAUGUCCUGUUACCCGGUAAUUAAUCAAUUACCUACAUAAUUAAAAGUUGUCUCAAAUUAAUUAAAAUUCUACUUAUUUUUAAUAUACUUUAUACAUCAUACUACCGUGGUAAUAUAGUACCUUGUAUGGCACUAGUCCAUAAAUAUCGAGUAUUUUAGCUCGGGUCGUAUUUUAUCCCAACAUGUGAAACUUGGACAAAAAUUCAUUUUAUUUGACUUGCUUCCCCUCUCACCUUUACGAAUUUACUCAUCACUUGUUUGAAAUAGCAUAAUCCUUAUAAUCUCCAAAUAAUCUUUUCCUUGGACUGAUGUCAAUUACCUUACGACAAAUUUGACGUACAAUACUAUAGGGUACAACAUCGUCGUAAUUUAAUACUGCGAAGCGUAAUACCAACGUAAUGUUACGGGGCAUAACAUUUUCCACCUUGCAUUGUGAUUUAAGAGUCACCAAUAUGCUUUGAUGUGCUUCCACUUGGGAGAUGUAAUUCUUAUCCAAAGAUUUGGAUUAAUUAUCCACUAAUCACUUGAUUAACUUGUUAAUCUUUCAUUAACCAAUAAUUACCCAAUUAUCCACAUAUUUAGGAAUUAUCUCAAAUAACUUAAAAUAAUACUCACUUUUAACAUACUUUAUACACCUUACUAGCAUGGACAUGUACUACCUUGUAUGACACUAGUCCAUAAAUAUCAGGUAUUAUAGCUCGGACCGUAUUUUAUCCCAAAAUAUCAAACUUUGACGAAAUUUCUUUCUUUCGAUUUUCUUACCCUCUCACCUUUACAAAUUUACUCAUCACUUGUUUGAAAUAACAUAAUGCUUGUAAUCUCAAAAUAAUCUCAUUCCCGAACUUACGUCGAUUAACUUACGACGAAACUUUAAUGUACGAAAAUACGGGAUGUAACAUCUCAUUUUACAAGCUUCCAUAAAUUUACUUAUGGCGUACUUUCACGUACAAAAAUAUGGGGUGUAACAUCAUUCCCUCCUUUGGAAUAUUCGUCCUCGAAUGUUGACUGAUGCACUUAUCAUUUUUAUAGCUUAUGUCUUCCCAAUACUUUAGUACUCUCCUUGCCAUCUAGGCAAUUGCUCUGUGAAUAAUUUCAAAAGCCAGGGCAUCCCCCCUUUAGUCUUCUUUCUCACACUACUACUUGUGGUCGUAAUCAUUCCAAUCUCGUAAUUGUUGCUAUCUUCUAUCAUGUAGCCUAUACGACUUUUUCUUUGUAUGUGCACCUACGCAAAUGUUCCCCGCAGCUUUUAGCCAAUCUCUAAGCCUUACUUUGGGAAUAUAUACAGAACUUGACAAGAUGUCCUUUUGGGAAUCUAUAGGUGUACAGAAGUUCUUUGCUUGAUACUUUGUCGAACUUACGACUAUUGCUAUAUCUUGUUUCAUAGCCCCGGUUAUCCAUCCGUGUGACUUUACUGCAUCUAGAUAGGUCAUACUAUACUAUAACUCUUACUUCGAUUUAUCAUUGUUGAGCUCUGCUACUAAACUCUAGGUUACGUUCGUUGCUUAUUCCAUAUGUAUAAAUCUAUGUCCUUUAAUGCUUCAUUAUUACCGUUCAUCUUAAGAAUGAUGGCCUAAUCUCAUCUCAUACUUUGUGGCUUUUAUCCAUCCAUUGUUGAUUUACAUCAAUGUUGAUCUACAAUCUACCACUGAUAUCUUGAAACUUCUUACGUAAUACAUUGCCACUAGGGCUCUCGUCUCAUCGGGGAACAUCUGAAGUAACUUGCCUAAUCCACCUAGGAGCGAUACUAUACUUCAAUAACCGUAUUUCAUAAUAUCCCAAUGUGAUUCAUCUUAUGGGUGGGGAUAUUUUAAUCCUGUGCCGUCCAUGAAAUCCUUAUUUAAUUUUUCUUCAAAUUACUACUCAAUCGAAGGCCCAAACAUCAUCCUUUAUCUGUCACAAUUACAGCCUUAUUCUACUACCAGGACAACAUUCUAUCUCUUCUGAAUGCUAUUAGUCUUAGACCCCUUUGAGUUCAUUCAGGCUAUACUGAGCUUUCUAAAACUUAGAGAAACCAUUAGCUCUCUUGUUUUCCUGGGCUUAACCCCGAGGACUUAUCCAUUCUCGUCACCUUCUUACUCUCCCUUUCUUUAUCCUUGCUCCUAUCUUUCUAAAACCUUGUCGCUUUACUAUACUUUAGCUUGCGACCUACACAUAUCCAUUUAUACUACUCGCAACCUUCCUUCAACUUGCUUGCAUCAUUGAUUUCCUUAUGUCAUCCUGGAACAUCAAGCGAGACACCAUAUCGUCUCUAACUCUUCUUUACUCUCUUGACUAGGCCUCUCGAUACCUGGAAACCAUAGGCUGGAAGAUAAGCCACUGACGACGCCACUAUCAUUCCUAGAUACUGAAUCCUAGUGCUUCUAGCCUUCUAUCCGAAGUGUGGACUACUCACAACCUUCUGCACUUGAGUAUCUCCUAUGUUGUUCACCUUUACCUUACUUGCCUUAAAAUCUUGCUUCACCUCUUCUAUUCCUUUCAUAACCUCCCUUCCACAUAGGUAUAAUUCACCUCCAAACUUGAAGCUCUAUUAUAAUACUUGCACCUUUGGUGCACACAUAAUCCGGUGGGAGCUUCAUACUGACUUCUUAUGAGGCUGGUACUCUUUUAACUGGCUUUAUCAUAGAGCCAUUAUAGAAUAUGGCUAUUGUACUAUCUCUCUUGUACCUCCGAUAUUAAGAGUGAUUCUGCAAUGUUCUCAAUCAUGAUUUCUAUAAUUAUUUUGGGUCCAAUAAUAAGACUCCUGAUUUACUUAGUUGAUGUAACUCUUUAGUUUCCUCUUCCAUCUGAUCAACCUUUUUGUAAGCUUAAGUUAAUUUCCUAUCUGCAGCUCAUGGUAUUAGUUAUUACUUUAGCCUUUCAUGGACACUAUGGAAUAUUUGUGAUACCAUCAUCUAACAAUUCAAUCCUUUGUCUAUGACCUGGGCUCAAUUCUUUCUUUUAACUUAUACCAGAGUCUUCUAUGGCUGUAUGAUUGUCAAUAUAUAUGCUGCAUGGAUAAUACUCCAAAAUCUUGUGUGUACCCAUAACGUACUAACUCUAGAUCAUUGAUCGAAUAAUUCCUUUCGUUCCAUCUCAACUUUCUUUAAAUGUAUGCAAUUACUUUUUCUGGUCUUUCUGCCCCUUGUUGCAUGCAUACUUAACUUAUCCUAGUUCCCACGCAUGCCAGAAUUUUUGUGCAACUCAUAUGGUCUUGAAUAUUACCUUCAAUAUUUCUCCCCGUUCAUUAGCCACGGUAGGUGCCACUUUUUUUUGGAGUGCAUACAAUUUUUUUGUGAGACUGUUUUUUUUACAUGACCAUUUCCUCUUUAGGUCACUAAGCUUAGGUUGAAGUCUUCUUCCUUGUUUUCUCAGCUAGUUUUUUUUUGUGGUACUUAGGGAGGACCCUCCGGCUCUUAUAAAGCUGCGAGCUUAUUAUAUCGUAUACUCGAUGGACCUUUUGGCGUCCUUCCUUGCCUAUAAUUAUCUGUAGUUACUUACCUGCACACCCUUAUGCUUGUAGGGCUUCUUCUGAACUGAUAUUUUGACUGUCUUCCAGUGGCACACUCUUUCAAUCCCGUAACAUUCAUACGAUACCUUUAACUACUCCAACUCCUAUCUGAAUAUUUCUCAAGUAUUACAAUGACAUUACUGCGAGACUAAAUUCACUAUAUUGGGUUUUACUAUGUUUAUCUUGCACGAUCUGCUGAUUCAUCUUUAACCUCCUCUUUAGCCAUAACUAGGCUCUUACCGAAUCAACUACUAUCUACUCGUUGGCCCAUUCUUAUAUCAAUGUUUCUUGUUAUCUUUCUUGGGUUAUUUCCUUUGUCUUAAUGUACGUCUCGCAUUGGCUCCUUAUCUAUCAAUAACAUCUCAGGCAGGGACCCAUGCUUCCUCUCCUUGACGUCAUGUUUGCAUAGUGUUCUGGAAUCAUAGCGUAUCAAUAGGAUUUGAGUAAGUGUAAUCUCAUUCUUUUUUUGAUUUUACCACAUUCUUCCUUUACCAUUACAUGAUUACUAGAACCACUUAAUUCUAACUUAAUCCCACAUCACUCCAUAUUCCCCCCCUUUUGGGGAGUACAAAGAUUUAGCACUACGACGAUCUACUACCUCUUCAGCCUUGGGGUCUUAUCACAUCAUCGAUGACCGUUACUCGCCUUACGGUAAUCCUUCUGUACCAAGAAAAUGAAAUUCCUUACUCGCGAGGGUGGCACUUUAGUGUAACUAACACAUAUAGUCCCUUAAGCUUAACUUUGCUCACAUUGCUUGCUUUAGGGAAGCGUCUUUCUGAAUGACCAUUCUCUGAAUCUCUCAUGAAUCUUCUUCUGUUGUCCAUGCUAUUAUCGCCAGAACGAAAUCUAAAACUCUCAUGAUGUCGACUAUUAUCUAAUCACUCAGUCCCUAAUUCACGUUUAGUUUAUCUUGUUCACCAGCCCAUACUAAUUUCUAUUAUUCUGGAGUCUAACUUUUCCUUCUGGUAAUCAUGUUAGAGUCAUGAACUUAUUUCUUAAAAUGAGGAUAUGACUUUAUGGCCUAUACUCUCUUGUUGUCUUAAGGCCUGUGACUUCUCGUCUUUUCCUUCACUUGACUAUAGACUUUAUAAUACUGUCAUUUUUUUAUCUAUCGUUGUCAUCCACGUGUCACAUCUUACUCAUAAUGCUUCAUUAACUCCUUUCUUAUUUCCUGCUAACAUUUAUGUCUAUCACUUGAUUCUGUAAACUUCAACAAGCUAUUCCUUUGCUUUUAGUUCCCCUUUGCUCCAUCCAUUGGCUAUUCGGGUUGCCUAACAUUGCCUCUCUACUAGGGACGGGAGCCAUACUAAGAUAAUAUUUAUCCCUUCCAGGAUUUUGGUGCCUAUCUUUGUAGUACCCAUAUCCAGCUGUACUAUUUUAGGGUGCACCAUAUGGGUGUCUCACAAGGAGAUCAACUAGUACAUUUGCAAUAUCCUUCGGAAAUGUCAAUUAAUGCAAACAAUCCAUCCACCAUUUUGGGUCACUCUUAUCCUGAUAUCCAUCUUUCUCUUAUACUACUUAUGUUAUUCCCCAUGGGGCUUAAAUGAGAUGGGUGUGCCAAUUGUACAUACCUUUGUUAUUGUUGAAGGUAACUCAAAAGUCUUAUUUUCCUCUACCUAAAUUGUUAAUACUGAUAAUCUUCAUUAACUGGGCGCCUCGUACCCUUCUUCAACUUACUUCUUUCACUUGUUGAAACUUGUAUAUACCUUCUGAAUCUCUCAUUACUUUUCACCAUAUGGGUGGAUAGAUAUUCUUACCUUAAGGUUCUUUGUCAAGAAGCUUACACGUCUUAGUACACAAUUGUUCUAUUGAAUACCUCAUAUUUAUCCAUCAUAAUCAUGAUGCAAAAAAUCGAGUUCCUUUGACUCAACUCUUCCACAACUAUAUCUCUUACCAACCGUUUUUCUGGACGUAGGUAUCGUCGUAUUAUGAAUAAGAUAGAGUUUAGGAAAUUGAGUUCUUACAAUAGAGCUCUACCACAUGAUCUAGAGUAAGAAGAAAGAGUGACAAUCCUAAAUUCCCUGUAGCCUCCUACUUAUAAGUGUGGUGCACAACACACCCAUAAACAAGACUCUACUAGACAUGGCUUGUAGACUCCCUAUGAUAGAACUGCUCUGAUACCACUUUUGUCGUGACAUACAUCGAAGGUUCAUGACGGGCAUCCGGUUCCAUACUUUAUCGAGUACCAACAUAAUAUAUUUUUCUUAUCAUACUAUCACUGGUAACUGUCACACCUCCUUUUUACCACCCCGGAAGGGGUAUAUAGGGAGUUUUUUCCAAUUUAAGUGACAGUCGAAACAUGAUUAUUUUAUUUAAAAUUCAGAGUCACCACUUGGGAUAAUUUAUGGUGUCCCAAGUCACCGGUUUAAAAUCCCAAAUCGAGGAAAUUGACUCUAUUUACGGUCUGCGAACACAGAAAUCUAGGUAAGGAAUUCUGUUAACCCGAAAGAAGGUGUUAGGCAUUCCCGGAUUCCGUAGUUUUAGCACGGUCGCUUUGAUCAUAUUUGGCUUAUUAAAUUGUUUAACUACUCAUUUUAGAACCUAUGUGCUUUCACUUCUUUUAAUUAAGAAAUUACCUUAAAACAGGUCACGCGCACGUGUACCCAUUUGUUUGGAGCGUAAAAAAUCAUAUCAUACGUACAUGUCCACGAUCAAUCAUGCUUUAUUAUUAUUAAGAAAUUUUGGUCGAAGUUGCACGAACGCAUGCCCCAAUUUUGUUUUAGGAUCGCAAUUAUGUCACGCGAAGGUGUACACAAUCAAUAAUAUUUUAUUACUAUUAAAUUUGUUUCGCCCAAAGUUGCGCGAACGCAUACUUCGGUCUUAAUUUUGGAACCCAUAAUUAUGCCACUCAGAUGCCAAAAAUACAUACUACUAGGCACUAGCGAAUCUAUAUAGUCAAAAAUACAAAUAAAAGUAAAAUGAAAUACAUCACAUUUGAAUUAAUCAAACCACUUAUUAUCAAUUGUAAAUGUCGAGGUCAUGAGCUACUGAUAUCUUACUAUUGCCAUGCUACUUUAAUUUUGCAGUGUUAGCUUGUCACUUUUCUUCUCCGAAUAAUAAAUUCUUAAACCACAAGUAAGAGAAAAAUGGACCUCCCACAACACAUUCAAACCAGAUUUCACUCCUAAGCCACUUUAACAUUUCCUACAGUCUUCACGUCGAAGAACGCUAGCUUGUUGGUUUUAAUCAUAAAUGAUGUCGUGUUAUAAACAACUAAAAAAACUUAUUAGGCAUGAGAAAGUGACUAAAAUUGCACACAAUUGCUAGCUAGGUCUUUCCUUCUCACUCGACGCAUGAAAUAUGGACUAAGCAAACUUAAACCAACAACGAUUUGACUAGUGUACUCAAUGAACUCUAUCAGCUCGUAACAAUUCCCAAACUAAGAAUGAAUCACCAUAUAAACAUAUAAGCAGUGCACGAGUAAUAUAAUCUCAGCAACAUUAUACAUCAAGCUAUGCGCGAAAUAAAGAUCUAAAGUAGAAAAUGAACCUUGAGUGAAGCAAUAACAGACUUGGAAUAUACAGAGGAACUUCAUAGAGGCUGGAAUAACAGCUACUACAAUAUGAUAGAUCCGCAAUGAAAAACCUCAUCAGAACCACGGACGGAACCUCGUCGUGAACUCAAACCACUCAAACAAAUUCCACUCCGGAGGAUCGAAAAUCCGAAACUAGGGAGAUGAAACAGUAUUUUUAAAUCAUACUCGUACUCGAGGCGUAAAAAUGGGGACCGGUCAGAUCUACAAUUGUUCCGGUAAACAAACAAGACCAUGUCUCAAAGCAGCUUUAAAGCUAAGCUGAAGAUAGUAGCAACAGUAACCAACUAAAUGUUGAAAUGAAGAUGAAGCUCGACUUAAAUUGAGCUUUUCAAUUAACGAGAACCUCUAACGUUACAUAUUCGGUUUGGAUACGAAAUUCCUAUAGCCUAUGACGAUGACUAGAACCUGAACCGUGUACGCCGACGAACUUUGGACUUUGACUUCAAACGGACUCAAAUCCAGACCUCAAACUUACCGGAGUCAGUGACGCUACUACCACGACGAUGAUGACACUGUUAGAUCUAAAACCAUCCGACAUAGAAGUGAAGAACACGAGAAUAGUGGUGAUGAAACAGUCGCCAAAUUAGUUUUCCGGUCAGAUCGAAACCAAAAUUUCCGGCCAGACCAUGAUUGAAACGACAGUAGAGGUGAGGAGAUCAGGAGUUCAGGGUUUGGGAUGUCUUUGUGUUGAACGGCGGGUUCUUCAAUAAAAGGGGUGAUAUGAAGAAAAAGAAUAUAUUCAGGGGGGGUCAUUUGGUGUUCUGCGGUGGAUGUUUAUUUUACUUUAGGUCUAGGUCUUUUUUUAGCUGAUCCCUCUCUAGGUUAGAAUGUUAUCUAUAUCUAGAAUUAAUUAGGUUUUUAGGGUGUUGGGUUUAAUGGGUUUUUGGGCUUUAAAAUUGAAAUUGGGUUGGGUCCAUGUCUUAUUGGGUCUUAAUUUUGGGCUAAGAAGACUAAAAUAUAAAAAUAUAAAAUUUACUCUUAAUUAAUUAGAACACACUACUAAAAUAAAACUAGAUAUUAAAAGUGCAACUAUUUGUUUUGUAUUUUCAAGAUUACAUAAAGAUAAAAGUAAGGUACUACUUUUGUAUUUUUUUUAAUUUUAUGAAAGAUACAUAAAAUAAUAUAUAUUUUUAUUUUUUAUUUUUGUGACGAAAUAAAGUAAAAGAGUCAAAAUUAGUUAAAAUAGCGAUAUUAAGCCUAAACUAAAUAUUUACAUGCUAAAAUAUAAAAAAUCUUGGGGCGGGUCAAAAAUCACAUGUCUACAGUAACUGGGCCAAUAUGGCGACAACUCGUAAUGUAUAACUAUAAGUGGGAAAACACUGUAUCAAUGAACCAUCUUUCUUAAAAUAUGAAUACAUAUGGGCCGUCAAGGCCUCUGACAUACUGUACAAAAUGUUACUCUGUCUAACAAGCCUCUAAGAGUAUUUGACAUCAAAUGGGACAGGGUACCAACCUACCCAUAAGUCUAUAACACAAUUCUGACAUGAUGACUCAUAGACUCGGCUGCACUCCGAAUGAGGUGGAGUCUUACUGAUCCUUCGCGGAAUACUAACCUCGUCUACUAUGAGGGAUCAUCAAACUGAUUGUCUAUACCUACAGGCAUGGAUGCAGUGUCCCCAACAAAAGGACGUCAGUACGAAAAAUGUACCGAGUAUGUAAGGCACAUAAAUAAGUAUAUAAAAGACAUGGAAGAAACAUGGAGUAAAUGACUUAACCUGUAAGUCUUGAUAACUCUAUAAAUCAUGAAAUACUUAUAGUGUCAUGCAUAUGCGUAUGAAUGUCAUGUCGUGCAUAGGUACAUGUAUUCAUAACAUCAUCAAGCCUCUGAGGCAUCCUAUCAUAUCAUUGUUUACCUUGAAAAUGGUAAUAACAAUUAGAUUUGAUUUUCUGGUUCUAAAAAUAUGUGAUAUGUUUUUAUGCUAGUUGUUAGGCAAUAGAUGCUAAGUGAAAGAUUAGAAAAAAUAAGAUAAUAGCUUAUAGAUAGUAUAAUAACCAAACAGAAUGGCUUAAAAUCGAAGCCUCGAGCUUGUGUCUAUGGGGCCUCAAGGUUGAGUUGGGUGCCCGGCUAAGGACAAUCGACGUAGGAUUAACAGUUAUGAUAAAUUCGAUGGUGGCUCUUUAUGAUCGAAAUGAGCUAUAAAUGAAGAACAAUAAAUAGAACACAAUGAAUGUAAGUAAUAAAUGUACGUAGUGAGAUCAAGAGAAUAUGUUAAGUUAGGGAGCAGAGAGAAUAUUCUUGUAUAUCAAUAUUGUGUAUUAGACCCCCCUACAAAAUGGCAAGGAUCCCCUUUAUAUAUGAGGGGGAAUCCCAAUAUAGUUCAAAUGCAUUUAUUACAAAGAUAUGGGAUUGAUACAACCAUUUAAUGCCGUGAUACGGGUUUGAACUAGCCUAAUAGACUUUGUUAGCUCUAGUCACGUGCCUUGGGAACCUCACAUCGAUCCCCCUAGCCACUGGUUUACAUUGCCUCGAGGCUGAUCAUUGUUUACACUGCCACGAGAUCGAUCACUGAGAACCCACGGGGUCGAAACCCGAGCUGAUCUUCGAGCCUUCUAGGGGUUGUCUUUACGAGGCACCUUAAUUAUCAUAAAAUUGGACCACUGAUUUUUACCGUAUACAGAUAGUCCCCGCAUUUCUUAGAGUGAAACGAUAAGAAAUGACUUUGAUAUCUAUCUCCUCGAGUUUUCCGUGAUGAUGUCAUACUUAUGACGUAAGCCUUCGUGAUAACUAGAGCGUCCCAUUGGUUCGUCUUUCCAGAAUCAUUCAAGGUACCGCCAGUUUAUAUUUUUCAAAGAGAAAAUAUCGCCGCCGGUCCAUUUCCCAAAAAUGCAUUAAUUGCACCUGUAGGUACUUUUUCCAAAGACAUUGAUUAUGCCGUCGGUUACGCUUCCACCCUUUCUAUAAAUGGAAGUUUUCUUGAACCAAAACUUCAUUCAAACAUUCCUCAACAGCCUUUUACUCCUCUCUUUUCUUCAUCCUCACCCAACGCUAUUUCCAAUGUUUGAAGCCCGUGGCCAUAAGGUCAUACGGUAGGGUACUCAUCAGUUAUGUCAUGGACCUUUCGCAGAGCUUUCCCCUACUGAGUGGGAUUGCACUGGUUUGUUGUUGUUGGCCCAAAAUAAUGAGAGAGAAAUCUCAAAUUAUCUUCGCAUUAAAGGAUAUGCAGACUAUGAACUUUUACUCAUCUCUCUUAAUUACCCGAUGUGGCACUUCACUCUUUUUGCUUUUCGUGGAGUGAGGUGGUACCAUCUACUAACUGUUGCAUCCCACACCGGCGCAAUGACUCAAGAAGUGGCUUCACAAUAGUAGUGCUGGCGAGACCUAUACUCGCCAGAUUUUUCACCUAGCCACUUCUUUAUUUUUUUCUACUUCUUUAUCUUUUUCUGCUUCUUCUUCAUCUUUUUCUUCUUCUUCUUCUUCUUAUUCAUUGUUUUCUACUUCUUCUUCAAUCUUGAAAAUACCGUUUGAAAGACCGAGAUGAGGCCCCCAAGGAAAUGGUUCCCGAAGAUACUGCCCCCGAGGAUGUAUCCUCGAGAGCAGAUUAGGCUUGUAGCUGUUAUAUGUAUAUAUUUUUUGGCUUUUGUUUCUGCGUAAGGACCCUUCAUGGGCUUUUGUAAUCAUUGUUUACUAAUGAAAAGGUGUUUCUUCAAUUUUAUACCUGAUUUAUGCUGAAUUUCCUUUUAUUUACAUUUGCGAAGAAUCUGAGUUCAUGACCCUACCGAUCAGUCCGAAUACCGGGCUUGGGGUGUAGGUAUUUCCCCCAUUCCUGAUUAGUUAAUACGAUAUCCCGUGGAGCCCUUUAUCGUUCCUCGGUUUGAGCCCAGAUUGAAUUGAUACAAGCUUAGGCCGCCAGGACUCCCGACUUCGAGUUGAGUGAGAGUAAGGCUUCGAAUUUUUAGAAUGAAACUUAGCCUUUCAGACCCCAUCGAUAGUCCUCGAGGGGGAAUUUGCUCGGACGCCUGAGAAUAAAGAUAGCCCUUUGGCUUUCGAAGGCAGUCCCCGAGUGAGAGUUCGCUCAAGCUUGGGCGACCUGAAAAUUUGUUUUGAACUUAGAGCGAUAAUAGCCUUAAGGCGUUAUAGAUAGAUCCCGAAUGAGGGUAUGCCUGGACUCAGAUAGCCCCUGGAUUAAAGUAACCGAGAGGACAUUUAACUUGAUCCGAAGGCGAGAAAUAGCCCUAAGUGUUUAUUAGUAGUUUUUGAGUGAAAAUUAGCUCGGGAUCAGGUAGCUCAAGGGCCAGAGGAUCGGGUAAAUGACCCGCAUUUGCAAUAGCAAAAAUCCUCGAGGUAGGGUACCACCUUGAGGUUAGGGCCGUAUGAGUAGAUUUUUAGAGCUUAUAUUCUUUUUGAUAGAGGUCCUCGAGAUCGGGUACCAUCUUGAGGCUUGUAAUGAUAUCAAUGGCUCCUUAGAGCCUAUCUUCUUCUUGACAAAGAUCCUUGAGAUCAGGUACCAUCUCGACGCUUGUUGAUGCGAGGGUCUUUGAUCCCCAAAACAUCGUACGACAACGUUAAUUGCAUGACAUAGUUAUGAAACGACCGAGGCAAUCCCACUGGUACACCUUACCAAAGCAAAAAUGGCUUAGUCAGUAUUUUUAAUUGGCCUUUGAGGCAGGCGGACAAUCACCGCUUUCUCUAUAUAUAGGGUUGUCUUUCCUCCUUUAAGGAUUCUUCUAUUUUGAGUAGUUAUCCUCAUUCAUAAAGUUCUUCUUUCCUGUGUUAGGUCCUUCACCAUUUCAACUUUGAAGCCCCUGCUCAAAUUCCCUAGUUUUACUACAGUUGUGGCUGCUACGCCAGGGUCCGCUUGACAAGAGGAAGCGAGUUACGCCUUUGGUUCCCGCCUGGUUGGUGGUGCGCCGCUGGUGCUAGGCGAGCCAUCCUCAGGACAUUUUGUUUCGAGGGGGAACUUUCCAUCAGAAAAAACCUCCCAAUGUUCGAGGUCAUUGGGAGUAUGCCUCGAAGUUUAUUUCUUUAAUAGGAGAGGGGCACCUUGAGUUAGUGAGGAAAGAUUGUGGAUGGGGGGAAAAGGUAGUACUGCGUGUACCUUCCCUAGAUGAGAGCAUCAUGGAUCAUGCCGAGGGUCUUUUGAACGUAUACACAUACCCUUUUAUGCUGGGCCUCCUUGAUAGGGUCAUGCUCGGCUUCUAUAGAGAGUACCAGGUUGCCUUGGCACAGGUUCAUCCGUCAUUUUGGAGGAUAGUAUUGAUGAUGAGGUUAUUUGCGGGAGAAGAAGGGCUUAACUUCACCUUAGUCAUCUCAUCAGGUUGUACCAGCCUUUUCACUAUCGAGGUCUGCUAACCCUACGAUGCCGAUCCACCACGCCCUUCGUUGUCGAUAAUGAAGAAGAUGGGGAUCGGGGCUGGAUGAGCCGAUUCAUCUGAGUAUGGACUAUUGAUAUUAUCCACGCGGAGUUUCUGCCAUUUCCUGAGGAAUGAAAUUUUACACUUAAGUGGUACACUUGUACCUUCGUUGUUUUGCUUAUGGGGGAGGCGUGCUCCGUAAAUGCGCCUUUCUUUCCCUUUCUAUAGCAAUUCCAUGGAUGCCAUACGAGGUCCCUGACCUGAUGAAUUGGGCUUGCAAGUUGGCGGCCCACUCGACUUACGAUGAGCGUAAGUGGUGAGCCUUGUCUAAUGGUAUAUGGGAGGCAAAACACCACAGUAUGUGCUAUGUGAUUUGCUCUUUUUUUGAAAGGCACUUUCUUUUUAUGCGUACUAACUCCAUCAUCGUAGGCAUUGGGGAGUUCUUUGAGGUGAGAUCAUGCCUUCUCGGAGAGGGAGAAGGACCGUCAGCUUUGGGGCCGAGGGACAAUAAUAAUAAGCAGGAAGGGCCUUCGCAGAGCAACGGUGAUUAUAGUAAGACGAGUCCAGCCCGGAGGCUCAGAGAGGGUGUAUCAACUGAGCCUACAGCGUCCGAGAUCUCUAGUUUCAGAAAAACAAUCCCUCAUCUGCUGCCGUCUUCUUUUCUAGUCGAAGGUACCUCGAGGAACUAGGGUUCUCUACUGCCGACUUCUUCUCCCGUCAAAGGCACUUCGAGGGAUGUUCAAAGCCAGGGGCCGCAUAUAUCGAGCGAUUGUAUCCCAACCUAGAGUAGUUCUAUUGGGGUUAGUGGAGUCAAACUAGUAGAUACACGCUCAACUUUUGAGGAAGCUCAGCGGCUCUACUCUGUGGUGAGUUUUGGCCAAUCGUAUUGGUUGUAUAAUUUUUGUAAUUUUUACUCUCUUAUCGAGUGUCUCCUUCAUAGGCUUUUAACAAGCUCAAGUCUGAGCUGCUUUAUCAUGAGACCAAGCUGUGAAAAGCCGUUGAUGGGGAGAAAUCCCUCAGGCUUCUUUGCGAUGAAAGGGAAGACGAGUUGGAACACUUGCGAUAUGAGGCGAGUCGAAGUCUGAACUACGAAAGCUACCUCGAGGAGCAGGUAAUUUUUGUUUCAAGGGAGUGUGUGUUUCUUCUUCUAUCUUCUGAGGCUAAUGUUUUGUUUACUUCAGUUUCAGAAAAAGACGGAAGACCUGGAAUGCCUUUGGAGUGAAGUUGUCAAGCCAAGCGUAAGCGUGUUGAGCUAAGGCUCGGGUGGACACCCAGGUUGUGGCUAAGAAGGAUUCUCUGGCCAAGGGUUUCGCCCUCCAAGUGAAACUUUGCAACACUCAUGAGAACAACUUGGUCCGAAUGGACAUGAUUUCAAGGCUCGAGUCUGAGCUUGUGAAUAUGAAGGCUGAAGUUAUGGAUGCCCAGGCUGAAGCUGAAGCAAUCCGAACUAAGGCUGAUAAGAAAGUGGUCGUCUAUUUGAAGGACGCUGCCAACGCUCGUACUAAGCUGAGAGGGGAUCUCGACCAGGAGAGUAGGAGCAAAGAGUAUGUUAGGUGUAAAUCUUAGAGGGAAACCCUCGAGGAGAUCCAUGCCAAGGUCUUUGAUCUCUCAGAAGAGAUAAAGCAGGCGGAGGUAGACGAAUAUGAUGCUAAGUUCCUUUUGUUCGAUGCUAAAGAUAGAGAGAAAGAGGCCGACGGGCCAUAGUCCCCACGGGGGACGUAAAUUAGGCCUUGCUUUUCUGAUUUUAUGUAUAGUGUUUUUAAAGAACAUGGAGCUUUGUAUUUUUUCACAUGUACGUUUAUAAAAGGAAGCCUUGCAGUUUCAUUUUUUACGCACUUCCCUUUGCUUUGACGUUUGUCAGUCAUUAGCCAUAUUGAACUGGUCUUCGAGUUAAAAGGAACCCUUAGGUUUGUAGUACAACCCUGGGGCUCGUGGGGCUGGCCAAUAGGCUCUUACGCAUUUGGUCGGUACGACCUAUUAGCAUGAGCCGACAUUUGAGCUCUUAAGCUUUACUCUUAGGUAUAUUCAGUUAACUGUUUUGAGUUCAGUCUUCGAGUCGGAUUUAGACUCGAGCUCAUUGACCCUUAAGUUUUUGAAUUUAAAGCUGGCCUUUAGGCUCUUAUGCGUUAGGUUGGUACGACCUUUUAUAUGGGUUGGAGACAGUGGCUCUUACGCAUUGGGUUAGUACAACCCUUUAUAUGGGCUGGCGAUAGUGGCUCUUACGCAUUGGGUUGGUACGACACUUUAUAUGGGCUGACGAUAGUGGCUCUUACGCAUUGGGUCAGUACAACCUCUAAUAUAGGCUUUAUUUUUCCAUUGUUAAGGACUUUUUGAAAUUGUGUUUGCCUGACUCUUCGACGGUUCGAUAAAAACCUCAAUUGUGAGUCGUUAUGUGGCGAUGAGAACCUUGGGAGGUUUUGCUCGGUGGCUCAGUGUUUGAAGCCUAUAAUUUGGAGCUGACAUGGUCGAAGCUCUUUUGCCUAUGUCGAGGGUAGCCUGUUUAACCGGUUCUUUUCAAAGUAUUUUCAAAGUAAUUGAAGGCCAGUGAUUUUAUAGUGAUGAUCGGGCAUCCCCGAGUCACAUUAGUUUGGCUGGUACAGCCUUGUGACCGUAGUCAUUGUGUUUGACUGGAGCCUUUUAGUCCCCCAGUGAAGUAGUUUCAGCAUCUGUAUCGAGGGUAUGCCUUUUUAGGGGUCUUACAAGGUCGAAUAUAUAGCCUUAACUUUAAGGUCGGGAUAAUGCCUUUUUGUAAGAUCUUAUAAUUUUUACAUGCCUUUGAGGUCUUACAGUUUUGGUUACUUGGUACAAGUAUGGUUCAUGCCUUGCUUGAGGUCUUAGAGUUUUGGUUACUUGGUACACGUAUGGUUCAUGCCUUGCUUGAGGUCUUACAGUUUUUGGUGUUGCCUUAUAAAGGUCUUACGAGGUUGAGGUUGGCCGUACGGGGUCUUAUGGCCUCGGCAGUCCCUGAGACAUUGAAAGUUUUCUUGGCUCUGGAGCCAUUUUUGUAUACUUGAUGUUGCCAUAUUGAGGGCUUACGAGCUUGAAGCUUCUGACCAGGGGGUCAUACGGUUUUGAGUUUUUGACGUCAGUUCCCGAGUGUUCGGGAUGUUUUUGGCUCUAGAGCCAUUUUUUGUAAAAAAUACCAAACUCCUUUGAAACGCGAAAUGCUUUGAUGGAGGGGAAAGUAUUAUUUGAUUACUUAGUACAAGCAUACACGUUUUGCUGUUAAGGGAUCGAUUAUUCUAUACAGACACAGUUCGUUCGACUAUUUGGCCUGAUACAUCAUUUUCCUAUCGAGACCCCAUUUAGCACGUCUUGCCUUCUAUGAGGAGGUGACCUUCAGGGGGGAUGCCCCCUAGUAUUCGAGGUUGAUUGAAGAGAAGCCUUGAAUACUUGAUGAGUCUUCCUUAGGUAGCAUAUGGAUGUUGCCUCAUUAAAAACCUUGCCGGUAAAACCCUUCUUGGGAUAAAAACCAGGUCGAAGGAAAAGAGUACAACAUAUGCUUUUUGAACCUAAGGCCUUCGAGUUGGAAAGCACUUCGGAUUUCGAUCGGAUACUUGCACUCAGGUUAGUAUAAAAUAUAACUACUAAAAAUAAUGAGAUGAUCAUACCUUAGUGCUAACGGCACUUCGGUCCUCGAUAUGUUUCAAUCGAUUGUUCUGAGGACGCGGUACGGUCCUUUUCUUUGUUAAGUCAGGUGUAGAUGAGAAUAUAGCUUGUUAUUGCUAUUUUACUGUUUGCUUAUCCUUUGGCUCCCUUGACGGUGGAGGUAUUGGCGCCAGUGCCACAUCGUGCACCGCAAACAUCUCUUUUGCUGCAUGUUGUUCCCCGUAGAUGGUUUUUAUCCCACCCUUUGUCAUAAAUUUCAUCAUUUGAUGGAGGGUGGAUGGUACUGCUCUCAUGCAGUGUAUCCACGACCUUCCGAGCAAUGUGUUGUCCCUCAUGUCUCCUUCGAUGACAUGGAGUUUGGCAUUUUGGAUAGUGCCGACCACGUUGACCGGGAGGGUGAUUUCUGAUUUCGUUGUUUUGCUCGCCAUGUUGAACCUGUUGAGGACUCGAGAAGCGGGCACGAUUUGGUUAAGCUGUCUGAGCUGCUCCAUCACCCUCGACCUGAUAAUAUUGGUCGAGAUACCUGGAUCCACAAGUACAUGUUUAAUUUGAAAUGUAUUCACAAGAAAAGAGAUAACCAAUGCGUCGUUAUAAGGCUGAGACAAGGUCUCGAUGUCAUCGUUGCUUAAGGUGCGAGCAUCCUCGGGUAUGUAACCUUGAGUUCGCUUUUCCCUGGUGAUGGAUAUUUUUGUUCUCCUGAUCAUGGGUUCUUAUGGAUCAUCGAUGCCUCCUAAGAUCAUGUGGAUGACAUGUUGUGGCUCAUUUGUUUCAUUCUUCUUGGUCGCCUCUCUUUCCGGAACUAAUUUUUGGCUCGAUUGCUAAGGAAUUCUCGGAGGUGACCUUUGCUGAGUAGUCGGGCUACUUCUUCCCGUAGUUUUCGGCAAUCCUAGGUUCUGUGACUGUGUGUGCCAUGAAAUUCCCACACUAAGUUAUGGUUCCUUUGCGAAGGAUCUAAUUGUAUAGGCCUUGGCCACCUGGUGUCUCUGAUUUUACUGAUGGCGAAUACGAUAUCUGAAAUAUCGACGUUGAAGUUGUAUUCCGACAAGCGAGGUGCCUCCGUUGGCCCUGUGUGCCUGUCGAACCCAGCUCUGUUAACGAGUCCCUAAGGAUUCUAGCCUUGAUCCAUCCUUUGGUCAUUAUGGGGUAUGUUGCGCCCUGGGGCGUUUCUUCUAUCUUCAGUGUAUGGUUGGUAUCUUUCUUUGAUAGGCUUUGUCUCCUUUUCUGGAAGCCUGCUAGGAUAUACCGAGCCCGAGGGGGCUCCUAGUUGGUCGUCUUCAACUCUAAUCUUUGAUUGGUAUCGUUUGUGGACGUCCGACUAAGUCACAACGGGAUAUUCGACUAAGUUCGGCUUCAGCUGCUUCGAAGCUACCGAGCUUCGCUCGUUCAAGCCUUGAGUGAAGUCCUGCACUACCCAGUCAUCGUAGACUGGUGGUAGUUCCAUUCGUUCCAUUUGAAAGCGAGAUACAAACUCUUGCAGCAUCUCAUUCUCCUUUUGCUUGAUUUUGAAGACGCCGGAUUUCCUUGUUGCUACCUUGAUGUCACUAGCAUGUGCCUUUAUGAAGGAAUCUGCCAGCAUGGUGAACGAAUCUAUCGAGUUUGGGGCUAGUUUGUGAUACCACAUCAUCGCCCCUUUCGAAAGCGUCUCUUUGAACUUUUUUAGUAGGACAGAUUCGAUCUCGUCGUCCUUUACUGCACAAGUGUAAGCAAUGAUGUGCUCGUUGGGGUCCGAGGUUCCGUUGUAUUUCGGAAGGUCGGGCAUUCAUCUUUGGAAUAGGUUUUGGGUCCGCUUCCUAUGGGAAUGGUUUUUGUACGAACUUCUUCAAAUUUACACCCUUCAAGAUCGGGGGUGCGCCCGGAAUUUGAUCGACCCUAGAAUUGUAGGUCUCCACCUUCUUGUCGUUGGCUUCUAGCUUCUUCUUUCCUGACUCGAUCCUCUUUGUGAGGUCCUCGAGCAUCUUUAUGAUGGCGGGGUCGGAUGCAGACCUGUUAUUGCUUGAUCUUUCUGGUGCCUACUGGGCUUGGGGAGCCGUUUCUGGUGCUACCGUGCUGGGAGUUUUCUGGUGGCUUUGUAGGUGAGCAAUUGUCGGCUGUUGUGCCUGUAAUAUUUCGAAAAUAACGUGAAGUCUAACCUCUCGUUCUUCCCUAGCUUGGGUUUUCUGAGCUUCUUGUUGGUCUCCUUGGCGCAAGCUCCUAUUAGUGUGGGAGCUUAUAUCGAUGUGUUGGGCAUCGCGUCAGACCACAUCUGCGGGGAUUGGCUCUGGCGCGUCCCCAAGGUUUAGUGGUGGUGCGCCAAUACCCGGAACAGAUACACCAUUCUCCCCAUGGUCCUCAAGACCGUUGUUUUCAUAUGCAUUCACUGAGUUAGACAUUUUAACCAAAAAUUAAAGGUUCUUGGACAAGAAAAAGCAUGAAAGAUAACUUGCAUUAUGUAGUAAACCAGAGAGAAAACAAUCACUAUUAUUUUUAGCCCCACGGUGGGCGCCAAACAGUUUACCUUGAAAAUGGUAAUAAUAAUUACAUUUGAUUUUAUGGUUCUAAAAAUAUGUGAUCUAUUUUUAUGCUAUUUUUAGGCAAUAGAUGCUAAGUGAAAGCUUAGAAAAAAAAUAAAAUAAUAGCUUGUAGAUAGUAUAAUAACCAAACCGAAUA
rnacentral:lncRNA from 1 species